UACGGAGGGGGCUAGCGUUGUUCGGAAUUACUGGGCGUAAAGCGCACGUAGGCGGACUUGUAAGUCAGGGGUGAAAUCCCGAGGCUCAACUUCGGAACUGCCUUUGAUACUGCAAGUCUCGAGUCCGGAAGAGGUGAGUGGAAUUCCUAGUGUAGAGGUGAAAUUCGUAGAUAUUCGGAAGAACACCAGUGGCGAAGGCGGCUCACUGGUCCGGUACUGACGCUGAGGUGCGAAAGCGUGGGGAGCAAACAGG
rnacentral:rRNA from 1 species